rnacentral:rRNA from 1 species
UGAGGAAUAUUGGACAAUGGGCGCAAGCCUGAUCCAGCCAUGCCGCGUGCAGGAUGAAGCAUCUAUGGUGUGUAAACUGCUUUUGUACGGGAAGAAACCCUGGCUCGUGAGCCAGACUGACGGUACCGUAAGAAUAAGGAUCGGCUAACUCCGUGCCAGCAGCCGCGGUAAUACGGAGGAUCCAAGCGUUAUCCGGAAUCAUUGGGUUUAAAGGGUCCGUAGGCGGCCUUAUAAGUCAGUGGUGAAAUCUCCCGGCUCAACCGGGAAAUGGCCAUUGAUACUGUAGGGCUUGAAUUAUUGGGAAGUAACUAGAAUAUGUAGUGUAGCGGUGAAAUGCUUAGAUAUUACAUGGAAUACCGAUUGCGAAGGCAGGUUACUACCAAUUGAUUGACGCUGAUGGACGAAAGCGUGGGUAGCGAACAG